rnacentral:rRNA from 1 species
UAACACAUGCAAGUCGAGCGAUUACUUCGGUAAGAGCGGCGGACGGGUGAGUAACGCGUGGGGUAACCUGCCCUGUACACACGGAUAACAUACCGAAAGGUAUGCUAAUACGAGAUAAUAUACUUUUAUCGCGAUGGUAGAAGUAUCAAAGCUCCGGCGGUACAGGAUGGGCCCGCGUCUGAAUUAGCUAGUUGGUAAGGUAACGGCUUACCAAGGGCGACGAUCAUUAGCCGACCUGAGAGGGUGAUCGGCCACAUUGGAACUGAGACACGGUCCAAACUCC